rnacentral:rRNA from 1 species
AUUGAACGCUGGCGGCAUGCCUUACACAUGCAAGUCGAACGGUAACAGGUUAAGCUGACGAGUGGCGAACGGGUGAGUAAUGUAUCGGAACGUGCCCAGUCGUGGGGGAUAACUACUCGAAAGAGUAGCUAAUACCGCAUACGACCUGAGGGUGAAAGCGGGGGAUCGCAAGACCUCGCGCGAUUGGAGCGGCCGAUAUCAGAUUAGGUAGUUGGUGGGGUAAAGGCCCACCAAGCCAACGAUCUGUAGCUGGUCUGAGAGGACGACCAGCCACACUGGGACUGAGACACGGCCCAGACUCCUACGGGAGGCAGCAGUGGGGAAUUUUGGACAAUGGGCGCAAGCCUGAUCCAGCCAUGCCGCGUGCGGGAAGAAGGCCUUCGGGUUGUAAACCGCUUUUGUCAGGGAAGAAAAGGUUCUGGCUAAUACCUGGGACUCAUGACGGUACCUGAAGAAUAAGCACCGGCUAACUACGUGCCAGCCGCCGCCGUAACAC